AUACCUUUCUCGGCCUUUUAGCUAAUAUCAAGUGUAGUAUUUUUUUCAGUUUAAUAUCUGAUAUGUGAGUCAUCGACUCACACGAUAUUAACUCUAAUUUUUUAGGUCGAAGUUCCACCAUGGUAUCUUGCUAUUGGGACCUUCAAGAUUCGCCUUGGUGUAGCAUUAUUACUUCCUUGGCCUGGCUCACACCAC
rfam:Solanum lycopersicum cultivar Heinz 1706 chromosome 1, whole genome shotgun sequence.